rnacentral:rRNA from 1 species
UACGUAGGGGGCAAGCGUUGUCCGGAUUUAUUGGGCGUAAAACGCUCGUAGGUGGCCACGUCAAGUCGGAUGUGAAAUCUCCCGGCUCAACUGGGAGGGGUCAUUCGAUACUGGCGGGCUCGAGGCCGGUAGGGGGAAGCGGAAUUCCGGGUGUAGUGGUGGAAUGCGUAGAUAUCCGGAGGAACACCAGUGGCGAAGGCGGCUUCCUGGACCGGUUCUGACGCUGAGGUGCGAAAGCGUGGGGAGCAAACAGG